CCUACGGGGGGCUGCAGUCGAGAAUCUUCGUCAAUGGGCGAAAGCCUGAACGAGCGACGCCGCGUGCGGGAUGAAGGCCCUUGGGUUGUAAACCGCUGUCAGGGGGGAUGAAACCGUAAGGUUGACAGAGCCCCAGAGGAAGCACGGGCUAAGUUCGUGCCAGCAGCCGCGGUAAUACGAACUGUGCGAACGUUACUCGGAAUCACUGGGCUUACAGGGUGCGUAGGUGGCUUGUUAAGCAGGGUGUGAAAUCCCUCGGCUCAACCGAGGAACUGCGCUCUGUACUGGCGAGCUAGAGUAUGCUAGAGGUGAAUGGAACAUCCAGUGGAGCGGUGAAAUGUGUUGAUAUUGGAUGGAACACCAGAGGCGAAGGCGAUUCACUGGGGCAUAACUGACACUGAGGCACGAAAGCUAGGGGAGCAAACAGGCUUAGAUACCCCUGUAGUC
rnacentral:rRNA from 1 species